CAUUGGGUAUAUGAAUUAUUUUUUCUUUGUACAUAUCAUUAUUGUAACAUCGUAUAAAUAGAAAUUUUUCCUUAACCUAUUGCCAUUCUAAUUGAAGACAAUCAUAUACACAAGAGAAGAGAGGACAUGCCAUUUUAAGAGGAGGGUGGGAGACCAGGAAUAGAAUUUUAUAGCACAUAAAUUCCUUUCCCUUUCUCCUUAUUUGAUUGCAACUAGCAAUUGGAUGCC
rnacentral:lncRNA from 1 species